rnacentral:rRNA from 1 species
AACGAACGCUGGCGGCAUGCCUAACACAUGCAGGUCGAACGAGACCUUCGGGUCUAGUGGCGCACGGGUGCGUAACGCGUGGGAACCUGCCCUUAGGUUCGGAAUAACUCCCCGAAAGGGGUGCUAAUACCGGAUAAUGUCUUCGGACCAAAGAUUUAUCGCCUUUGGAUGGGCCCGCGUUGGAUUAGCUAGUUGGUAGGGUAAAAGCCUACCAAGGCGACGAUCCAUAGCUGGUCUGAGAGGAUGAUCAGCCACACUGGGACUGAGACACGGCCCAGACUCCUACGGGAGGCAGCAGUGGGGAAUAUUGGACAAUGGGCGAAAGCCUGAUCCAGCAAUGCCGCGUGAGUGAUGAAGGCCUUAGGGUUGUAAAGCCCUUUUACCCGGGAUGAUAAUGACAGUACCGGGAGAAUAAGCUCCGGCUAACUCCGUG